GAGUUUGAUCCUGGCUCAGGACGAACGCUGGCGGCGUGCCUAACACAUGCAAGUCGAACGGAGAACUCAAAAAGCUUGCUUUGAGAGUUCUUAGUGGCGGACGGGUGAGUAACGCGUGGGCAACCUCCCCCUUAAACCGGGACAACCCUUGGAAACGAGGGCUAAUACCGGAUACACUUUUCUGAGGACAUCCUCGGGAAAGGAAAGGCGGCCUCUGAAGAUGCUGCCGAUAAGGGGUGGACCCGCGUCUGAUUAGCUGGUUGGUGGGGUAAAGGCCUACCAAGGCGACGAUCAGUAGCCGGCCUGAGAGAGUGAACGGCCACACUGGGACUGAGACACGGCCCAGACUCCUACGGGAGGCAGCAGUGGGGAAUCUUCCGCAAUGGACGAAAGUCUGACGGAGCAACGCCGCGUGUAUGACGAAGGCCUUCGGGUUGUAAAGUACUGUCUUUAGGGACGAACGGUAGUCUAUGUGAACAAUAGUAGGUACAUGACGGUACCUAAGGAGGAA
rnacentral:rRNA from 1 species